rnacentral:rRNA from 1 species
AUACGUAGGGGGCAAGCGUUGUCCGGAAUCAUUGGGCGUAAAGGGCGCGUAGGCGGAUUUUUAAGUCUGGUGUGAAAACCUAGGGCUCAACCCUGGGACUGCAUCGGAAACUGGAGAUCUUGAGGACAGGAGAGGAAAGUGGAAUUCCACGUGUAGCGGUGAAAUGCGUAGAUAUGUGGAGGAACACCAGUGGCGAAGGCGACUUUCUGGACUGUAACUGACGCUGAGGCGCGAAAGCGUGGGGAGCAAACAGGAUUAGAUACCCUGGUAGUCCACGCCGUAAACGAUGAGUGCUAGGUGUAGAGGGUAUCGACCCCCUCUGUGCCGCAGUUAACACAAUAAGCACUCCGCCUGGGGAGUACGGCCGCAAGGUUGAA